rnacentral:rRNA from 1 species
GUAGCGAGCAAGCGUUAUCCGGAUUUACUGGGUGUAAAGGGCGCGUAGGCGGGAUGGCAAGUCAGAUGUGAAAUCCAGGGGCUCAACCCCUGAACUGCAUUUGAAACUGUCGUUCUUGAGUACUGGAGAGGUUGACGGAAUUCCUAGUGUAGCGGUGAAAUGCGUAGAUAUUAGGAGGAACACCAGUGGCGAAGGCGGUCAACUGGACAGCAACUGACGCUGAGGCGCGAAAGCGUGGGGAGCAAA